ensembl:lncRNA
GUUAACUCCACAUCUGACCUCUAUGGGAACGGAGCAGCCUCCACUCCUCCCCUCUCCUCCUUGCAGGCUGUGGGAACAAAUGGGACAGAGCUUCAUUUCGCCUCUCUCUCCCCCUCCCUCCCUCUCUCUCCCUCUCUCCCUCUCCCACUCUCCCUCUCUGCCUCUUGGCUGGGUCGUCGAGCUCCGGGAAGCGGCCCUUGGACAGAGCAGGACGUGACAUGGGACGGCUUCGGCGGGCCCGACCUCGCCGGUGGACUCUGUGAGGUGAUGUCGGCGCCGACUGACUCUGAAGUGGCCCAGUUGGCACAGUCAGGCGGCCUGACGCAGUUGUCCGGCCGGUCAUCGGGGAGUCAGUGAGUUAGUUUGCCUGUCAGGGAAAAUCGCUCAGUGGCUCCCAACUCUGUGGAUGUCAUCGGCUGAACUCUUGAGGUGACUCAGACUUGCCGUGUAAGAGAAAACGGACCUGUGGGCACGGUCUCAGGUGCUCCGCAGAUGCGGUGGAGGACGGCACCUGGAACCCGUUGGGGGGGGAGGUGUUGGAGAAGAGACAAUGCAGCUCGGUGCACGAGGGCCCGGGCUUUGUCACGGCUGUGGUGGGGAGGGUUCCUGGCACCGUGAUUUGAUGCACAAAGAAAAACAAAAUCACAUUGCCAGGGAUUUCCACUCCUUCACGGCACCGCGGGUGACCCGCCCGCGUUGUAUUUCCACAGCGGGAUGCCUUUGUGUUGUCUCCUUCAGACACAAAGUUAUCUGAGACUGGAUGUUGCUACGGAUUCCGAAGGAGUAAAUACUGGAGAGGUUUGAACGGGUUUUGUGAUCAGCUCCCUCAGUGGAUUUCAAGAGGUUAACCAGUUUAUCACAAAACUGCAAAAAAUGGGUUUAAAGCGUGCAGUUGAAUGCGCAUAUGUCUAAAGAUGUAACUGUCUUCACCAUUCUCACAUUUCAUGUCAAUCACUCGAUGUAAAAGCACACAAGAGCCUACAAUUAUACAUGUUUACACAACAAGUUUUGCCUCUCAGAAUUUACAGUAGAUUCAUUAACAGUGAGACGAUUUUCAUGUUUCAAAUGAAGGACACACUUUAAACAUUUUACAAAUGUGCCCCGUCAAAGGGGAAGCAGACCUCAACAUUAGAAGCAUUGCAAAAAUGUACCACUGAGCAGUCACGUAAAGGUCGGCGUAGACCUGAAUUCGCUCCAAAGCCAGCCCCCCACUUGCUGAAGGCACAGAGCUUAGCUAAUUGGUGAGCAGUGAUCCCUGCUAUGUGUUGUUCACAGUGGCUAAGUUCAGUGCCUGAGGUGAAAUAGGGGAUUCGACGGAGGGGAUUUGUUCGGGUGAAUGGAAAGAUCCUGAUGAUCUCGGAUAUGAAGACAGGAGGAGGAAGGAAGACGGGCGGGGGGAGAAAUUACAAAAAAAAGAAAGAAAGCAAAGUAAAAGUAAAGGUUAUGAUCCCAUAAAGGAGCAAUGUGGGGUUCAUGGUUUAAUGGAGCAAUACAGUCCAGACAAGCUUUAUCGUUUUCUUUAUUGUUUGCCUAAAGCAACAACGUCUUAUUUUACCCCAGUUAUAACCGUAGACAAGAAUCUUCAUGCAUGCCAAAUACGUUUGACAGCGCAUCACUGAGACAGUUUGAACCAGGUUCAAUGUGGACUUAACAGUUCCACAGGUUGUAUUUGAGGAAUGUGGUGCUAAAUGUCAGAUCCGUCUGGGCAUGCCCCGUUCGUGUCCAACUGUGUUUGCUCAGGGCGAGUGUCCCGGUUUGUUGGUGCCACAGCCUGGACCUUUAUGUCUGAGGAGAAGCCUGCGUGCGCCGAGUUCACAGUUUGAUAACCCCUCGCAGUGAUUGUCAGAGCCUAGCAACCGUUGCUACCCACAGCAGGCCCGUAAACCUUUGAAUUCAAAAGCGGUGGGUUGUCGCACAAAGGACAGUCUGCACUCACCAUUUAGAGACUUUGGAGAUUUCUGUCCUUUUGUAGCUUGUCCAAACACAAGUGUAAAGAAUUAAAUUAAAUCAAGCUACAUGUGUUAGGUCAUCCGGCUAUUCAUUAAUAAUCAAUAAAAAAUAAACAAUAACCCUGAUAUUCCAUGUCCACGUCUUUGGUUUGGAUCACCAACCGGAUAGAAUUGAUAACUUUCUGCUUGGGACAUGAGCUUUAGCGUUUUAGUUAAAUAUCCUUUGGUAAAAGGUUUAAUAACUGAGUUAGCAAUGUUAUAAACCUUCAGGAGAUGAAAUGUUAUUUCUGCAGUAUCUGCAGUUCACUUUUAGUAAUGCAAAGCUGCAUUUAUCUACUACAGUGCAAUUCUGCCACUGCCGUCAUUGUGAGUAAGUACCAUGCCAGAACACAAAGCACAACAGGAGUUGCAACUGCUGUGCUUGGUCAAUUUCCAAAGUGUUUCUAUUGUUCUCUGCAUGUUGCACAUCACAUCAUCCUUUUUGUUGGAUUUAAAGAAACACCUUCCAAUGAGGCCGCACGCUGCAUUUUCCUCCCGUGCCUACUGAACUGGUAUCAGUGUUUUUUCUAAAAACUGGCUCAGUUCAGCAGGAACAGGAGUGGAGUCCAUUAACAAUCGGGAUCGACCGAGUUUGUCAUUCAGCUUCGGCUUCACUAUUUGCACAGCACAUUUCCCUGGGACUUGUAACCUCUCCACUCAACGUGCAGCGAGACAGUCUCGGCUAAGAUUCAGCACUUUACUGUGCUCUUGUGUUUAGUUGACCUUAACCAAUGCAUUGAGUUUGCUUCAAGUCAUUGGCCUUGAUUAAAAUCAAACCUGAGCCGUCCAACCUGUCAGACGACGGCACCGAACCCUGAAGCGUCUUCAAGGGCGGUGCAGCUUGAGUUUCACAUGGCUGUCCCUUGCUUUGCUAAAACAUGAAUAUUUCAUGAGCAGAUUUACCAUUUUUUGCUUGAUAGGUGGGCCCUGGCGUCCUCAGCCGCUGUGUGAAUGCUAUUACAUACGGAUGCUGUCGAUCUUGGUGUUGUGCUGCUCAGCCUUCAUGUUUAUUUCAUUAUUCUGCAGAAAACACGCCACCCUCUCUCUGUCUGACUCUUUUUUUUCUGCCUUUUUGUGCUGUCAAAGGCCAGACUGUUACUGGAGUUUAUGUAGUCAUGUAAUCCCGGUUAAAUAUCUGCUGUGUUCGUGUAAUGUAUGUCACCCAGCAGCCUCCAUUAUUAGUGAUGGGGGACGUGAGCAAUGCUGCUUCUUCCGCAUUCUACAGAUAAAUUGCAGCCACCAAAGGAAAAAGCGCAUCAUCUUGAAGUCUCACACCCGUGGGGGAGUGGAAGGCUUAUUACCAAGCACGAUGAAUCUGCUCUUAACCAGCGACUCCUCUGAGCGUGGUUGGAACAUACAAUUGUACGUCUAUUACCCUGCGGAUGAAUGUUUCAUGCGAACUUGAGAUUAGAAAGGUAGGCAGGUAUUUUUCAUUGAUUGGUGUGAUUUUUAUCCCCGGGGUAUUUCAUCUACCUGAUUGUGGAUAACGGUGCGAAUGGAGCAUCAUUCUAAAUGUCAGAACAAUUCUACUGAUUUGGAGCAUGAUUUAUUUUGAUAUUACAGGUGCAACCAAUGUUUCAUUUCAUUAUGAAUCCAACUACUAUUUCAUUUUAAUAAAAAUUUGAAGAGCCUUAAAAAGAGUUCAAGCAUUGUUUUUCUGGGUUCAAGAUCAUACAAUUACAUCAACUAUUCCUGUGAGGUAAACAUGUUACAGUAAAAAACAUUUUUAGAUAUUUGCCCAAGCUGAGAAAACUAUGAGGUCAUUUGGAAGCUUUAGUAACUUGAAUCGCUAAAAAUGUAUAUAAUUAAACGUUGUGAAUUUGGGAGGUAGCCAUAUGGGCCGGUCUUGACUCGGAUAUCAGGUUUGUUAUGCUAGGCUCAGUCCAUAUAGCCUUAAUCUUUUAGCCUCAAGCAAAGAAACAAAGUCUGGCGAGUACCCUUCUCUCCGGCUACAAAACCCAAAUUUAACCCUUUCAAACUUUUUAGACAAUACAGUUCACAGAUAAUACUGCUGAAACGUUAAAAGAUAUGAGAAUAUCCAAAUAAUAUCAAGACUGAGACGAUUUAUAGUAUUAAUCUAAAUGUUUUGGGGGCACUAGUAUGAUCUCACAGUUUUUUUUUUGUCAGUUUCAGCAAACAAAGGCUGGACUUGCUGUUUGAGACAAGCCAGUUGCUGCCUGUUUUAUGCAAAAACAUGACAGAAUAGACAGUAUUGACUCCUUAUGAAAGCAGACACAUGCUUCCCAACCCGCAGAGGUUGGGAAAGCUGCAGGCUCUCCUUUUUGGUCUCCAUAGCAAUGUCAGUAUCCCUUUUACCAUCAGGCCUCACAGGCUGACCAGAUUUCAUGAUGUGGCUGCUUUAUUGAGCCUGAUCUGCUUUUGUUGCCCCCUUUUGGCAAUCAAUCAGCAUCCGUGCGGUUCUGGCCUGUGGCUGUGAGCUUGACUACGUAAUUUGGUUAAGAGCUGAGCCGGAACAUCUGUUCUACAAAGCCCCAGCUCCUUCCAUUCCUCGGGGCCUCAUGGAAAAAAAAGACGGCCAGCGGUGGAGCCGCCGCUGCAUCACAGGACCUCCAAACCAGCACGCCACAACCUCCAGUCCAAACCCUCCCAAGAGUGAUCUCAGUAGUGAGCGGAGAAGAGCGACGGGGCUUUGAAACAAAUGUGUGAUGUGGUGUAGGAUUUAAAGGUGGACUGGCGGUGACUGAGUGUGCUUUAUUGAUUUCAUACGUACAGUGGGUUGAUUUUUAACUGUGAGACAAAGCGUUUCAUUCAGUCAGAUGACUCAGAUGGAAAAUAUUUAUUUUGUGAAUAGAAAGUAUGUGCUACUAAUAUAAUAUGUGUUAUUGGUGUUAGAGUCAGAGAUCUGCUGGAAUUGAUGAAAUACUGUAUGAAGGUGGUUAAUGAUGACAGCAGAUUGGAUUUGUUUUUGACAAACAGCCACAGUCUGGCCAUGCUAACAUGCUAAUAGUACAUACAUGCUAACCUGCUAAACAUAAGCAUGUCAACGUUGUCAUGUGAGCAUGGUAGCACACUUAUGUCAGCAUUUAAUAGCACCGUUUUUCCUAAGUAGUCUACAAUCUUACCGGGCCGAGUCUUGUUUUUGUUUCCUGACAAAUCCCCUGCAGACAAAACCUGCAUCCUCAGUAAAGAAACUUUAGUAAAACUGAAGCUGAAUCAUCACCCUUGAAACAUCUUUCACAACACAAUUAGUUAAGUGGUCACGGUGCUCAGCCAAAGCACAAAUGAAUGAGAGGGGCGAUUAGGAAAAGAGGGAAGACUUGCUCACAUACAUAUCCAAGGUUGAGAGCAGAGUCACAGCACAUGGCCAACAUCCAGCCCUCAAGAGAAAACGUUGUUAUUUGUCUCAUAUGCUCUCGAUGAAAGAGGAAGGGGAAAAAAACACGUCAUUGUGCUUGUGGCAAUUUUGAUGGUGUUUUUGCCUCCAUCAUUUUAAAAGCUCAUAACGUCUGCCCUUUGUAUCCACUGUCCCACAAUCUAAAAUCUGAUAAGGAGGAAGCAGCUGGGUCCGGAGAUGGUGUGUAGACUUUAAGAGGCCUUCCUCCUCCACAUGCACUCACACUGGCAUCAGAAUAAAUCUUCCCAGAACGGGGCUCUUUUGUUAAGACGCGGAGGAAAGAAACUGCAGACCAAAGGCAACGUGGCGGCGCAUUCCCUUUUAAUUAAGGAACAGAACAUCCUUCUUGUCUUGAGCUAUGCUCCACCUACUGUGUAUCUCUAGUUUAGAGACCUGCUGUGUUUAUAUGAACAACUACAGAGGCAUGCAUAACUUUAAACUAAUGAUUAGAAAAGCAAAUACAUCUUUAAUUAGCUCCACAAGCACCAGAGAAGAAGACGGCUGUGCAGGUGACAGAAACCAACACAUGAAGAAAAGGUUUGAUUUCUGUUUUGCUUUGGACAUGCGUUGAGUUAACGACGCUUGGUCUGGGAGCGAGUCCAGUGGGUUGAAUAAAGAGAGAUUUUCCCGGCUCGGACAAUGUGUGUGUUGGUGUGUGUGUUGGUGUGUCUGUGGCUGCGCGUGUAUGAAUGAAUGACAAAGACCAGAUAACUCCCGCCUGGCUGUGAACGUCUGGUUCGUAUCACCGUGCGAACACAUUUUACUGUUGCUCGAUGAGUACACAGGUGCAAGUGUAUACAUUAACACACGUAGACACACAUUAAAACAACAAAAGUUCACUCAAACAAAGUUCUAUUGUGUUUCUUUUAAAUUUGUGUGUUUGAAAGUGAAUUAUCCAACAAUUUUGAUAUUAUCAAAUGCAUUUGCAACCGAGACAUUAAGGUCUUCAGGAAGUGGAAAAACUCUCCAAUUUUUUGUAAAUUGUAAGAAGAGACAAAGAAAGAUCUCACAAGCUCUUACAGUUUUCCAUUACUGUGCCACCUAUAACAAUUGCAUGACAACAUAUUAACAAAAUUGUCUUUCUUUAAUUUGUGGGGAAUUAAAAGUAUACGGUUAUAAGUAAACGGUAACAUUCUGGUAUUUAUAACACAAAAACAGUAGUUGUAUGGCAUCAAACUGUAAUCCAAUAUACAGCAACAUACCGUAUAUUACAGUAGGGCACUGUAAAUAAAACAGUAAGUUACUAGCGUCGACUGCCAGUAAAUUGCAGUUAAUUCACUGUAAAAUUAAAGUAAUUACAGUAAUACAUUAUACGGCAGUGUACCAUAAAAAACAACAAAUUACUGGCAUCCGCUGCCAGUAUUUUUCCAUGAAUUGACUGUAAAGUUCACGCCAAUUUACUGUAAUCCUUUUUACGGUAAUAUAGUGUAAAAAACAUUUACAUAUUAUACCGUAAAAUAACAGUAAAUUCCUGGCCUCCUUGUUGCCAGUAAGUUACCGUUAAUUUACGGUGAAAUUUUUUUUGAGUGAAGGCUAACAAUCCCUUGGGGAUCAGGUGAGUCAACAUGAGUAUUCUUUCUUUCUUCUCAAGAAAGUGCCUUAUCCAUAUUGAAAGCAUCCUGUGGUCUAAGGUGGAUUAAGGCCUCGACUAUUGCUAAUUCUUAUGUGAUCAGCUCUUUCAACCGUGACCACUGAGACAAAGCGUUUCAUGUUAGUUUUACUGUAUGUUGCCUUUUUAGCGGCAGUCUUUCACCAAACAUGUCUGGCGCCAAAGAGAAGGACAAAUGUCUGGAAUAUCACAUAAGUAGAUAUAGUAGUAGGGCUCUGUACUGCAUGCCCAGCAAAUCAAUGUGAGC